GUCAGAAUGGCGAGCGGUCUAAGGCGCCAGACUCAAGGUUGUGCACCUUCUCCAAAACAGAGAGAUUUCUGGUCUCCGAAUGGAGGUGUGGGUUCAAAUCCCACUUCUGACA
rnacentral:tRNA from 1 species